AUUGAACGCUGGCGGCAGGCCUAACACAUGCAAGUAGAACGAGUGGCGGACGGGUGAGUAAUGUCUGGGAGACUGCCAGAUGGAGGGGGAUAACUACUGGAAACGGUAGCUAAUACCGCAUACCAUCGGAUGUGCCCACAUGGGAUUAGCUAGUGGGGGGGGUAACGGCUAACCUAGGCGACGGUCCCUAGCUGGUCUGAGAGGAUGACCAGCCAAACUGGAACUGAGACACGGUCCAGACUCCUACGGGAGGCAGCAGUGGGGAAUAUUGCACAAUGGGCGCAAGCCUGAUGCAGCCAUGCCGCGUGUAUGAAGAAGGCCUUCGGGUUGUAAAGUACUUUCAGCGAGGAGGCGUUACUCGCAGAAGAAGCACCGGCUAACUCCGUGCCAGCAGCCGCGGUAAUAC
rnacentral:rRNA from 1 species